CCUACGGGUGGCUGCAGUGAGGAAUAUUGGUCAAUGGGCGCGAGCCUGAACCAGCCAAGUAGCGUGAAGGAUGACUGCCCUACGGGUUGUAAACUUCUGUUAUAAAGGAAUAAAGUGAGGCACGUGUGCCUUUUUGUAUGUACUUUAUGAAUAAGGUUCGGCUAACUCCGUGACAGCAGCCGCGGUAAUACGGAGGAUCCGAGCGUUAUCCGGAUUUAUUGGGUUUAAAGUGAGCGUAGAUGGGUUGUUAAGUCAGUUGUGAACGUUUGCGGCUCAACCGUAAAAUUGCAAUUGAUACUGGCAGCCUUGAGUACAGUUGAGGUAGGCGGAAUUCGUGGUGUAGCGGUGAAAUGCGUAGAUAUUAGGAGGAACACCGGUGGCGAAGGCGGCUUACUGGACUGUAACUGACGUUGAGGCUCGAAGGCGUGGGGAGCAAACAGGAUUAGAUACCCGUGUAGUC
rnacentral:rRNA from 1 species